rnacentral:rRNA from 1 species
AGCUGAGCAGCACGCCGCGUGCGGGAUGAAGGCCUUCGGGUUGUAAACCGCUUUCAGCAGGGACGAAAAUGACGGUACCUGCAGAAGAAGCCCCGGCUAAAUACGUGCCAGCAGCCGCGGUAAUACGUAUGGGGCAAGCGUUAUCCGGAUUCAUUGGGCGUAAAGAGCGCGUAGGCGGAUUGUUAAGUCAGAUGUGAAAACCGGGGGCUCAACCCGCGGCCUGCAUCUGAAACUGGCAGUCUUGAGUCUGGUAGAGGAAAGUGGAAUUCCCAGUGUAGCGGUGAAAUGCGCAGAUAUUGGGAGGAACACCAGUGGCGAAGGCGGCUUUCUGGGCCACGACUGACGCUGAGGCGCGAAAGCUAGGGGAGCAAACAGGAUUAGAUACCCUGGUAGUCCUAGCAGUAAACGAUGGGCACUAGGUGUGGGGGGUCAUCAACUCCCUCCGUGCCGCAGCUAACGCAUUAAGUGCCCCGCCUGGGGAGUACGACCGCAAGGUUAAAACUCAAG